rnacentral:rRNA from 1 species
GAUGAACGCUGGCGGCGUGCCUAAUACAUGCAAGUCGAGCGAACAGACGAGGAGCUUGCUCCUCUGACGUUAGCGGCGGACGGGUGAGUAACACGUGGAUAACCUAGCUAUAAGACUGGGAUAACUUCGGGAAACCGGAGCUAAUACCGGAUAAUAUAUUGAACCGCAUUGUUCAAUAGUGAAAGACGGUUUUGCUGUCACUUAUAGAUGGAUCCGCGCCGCAUUAGCUAGUUGGUAAGGUAACGGCUUACCAAGGCAACGAUGCGUAGCCGACCUGAGAGGGUGAUCGGCCACACUGGACCUGAGCGACGGUCCAGACUACUACGGGAGGCAGCAGUAGGGAAUCGUCCGCAAUGGGCGCAAGACUGACGGAGCAAAGCCGCGUGAGUGAUGAAGGUCUUCGGAUCGUAAAACUCUGUUAUAAGGGAAGAACAAAUGUGUAAGUAACUAUGCACGUCUUGACGGUACCUAAUCAGAAAGCAACGGCUAACUACGUG